rnacentral:rRNA from 1 species
AGAGUUUGAUCCUGGCUCAGAAUGAACGCUGGCGGCAGGCCUUACACAUGCAAGUCGAACGGUAGAGGAGCAAUCCUCGAGAGUGGCGAACGGGUGAGUAAUGUAUCGGAACGUGCCCAGUAGUGGGGGAUAGCCCGGCGAAAGCCGGAUUAAUACCGCAUGAGACCUGAGGGUGAAAGCGGGGGACUCGCAAGAGCCUCGCGCUACUGGAGCGGCCGAUAUCAGAUUAGGUAGUUGGUGGGGUAAAAGCCUACCAAGCCUGCGAUCUGUAGCUGGUCUGAGAGGACGACCAGCCACACUGGGACUGAGACACGGCCCAGACUCCUACGGGAGGCAGCAGUGGGGAAUUUUGGACAAUGGGCGAAAGCCUGAUCCAGCCAUGCCGCGUGCGGGAAGAAGGCCUUCGGGUUGUAAACCGCUUUUGUCAGGGAAGAAAUCCUUUGAGUUAAUACCUCGGAGGGAUGACGGUACCUGAAGAAUAAGCACCGGCUAACUACGUGCCAGCAGCCGCGG